rnacentral:rRNA from 1 species
GCGACUUAUAUUCUGUAGCAAGGUUAACCGUAUAGGGGAGCCGAAGGGAAACCGAGUCUUAAUUGGGCGUUAAGUUGCAGGGUAUAGACCCGAAACCCGGUGAUCUAGCCAUGGGCAGGUUGAAGGUUGGGUAACACUAACUGGAGGACCGAACCGACUAAUGUUGAAAAAUUAGCGGAUGACCUGUGGCUGGGGGUGAAAGGCCAAUCAAACCGGGAGAUAGCUGGUUCUCCCCGAAAGCUAUUUAGGUAGCGCCUCGUGAAUUCAUCUCCGGGGGUAGAGCACUGUUUCGGCUAGGGGGCCAUCCCGGCUUACCAACCCGAUGCAAACUGCGAAUACCGGAGAAUGUUAUCACGGGAGACACACGGCGGGUGCUAACGUCCGUCGUGAAGAGGGAAACAACCCAGACCGCCAGCUAAGGUCCCAAAGUCAUGGUUAAGUGGGAAACGAUGUGGGAAGGCCCAGACAGCCAGGAUGUUGGCUUAGAAGCAGCCAUCAUUUAAAGAAAGCGUAAUAGCUCACUGGUCGAGUCGGCCUGCGCGGAAGAUGUAACGGGGCUAAACCAUGCACCGAAGCUGCGGCAGCGACACUGUGUGUUGUUGGGUAGGGGAGCGUUCUGUAAGCCUGUGAAGGUGUGUCGUGAGGCAUGCUGGAGGUAUCAGAAGUGCGAAUGCUGACAUAAGUAACGAUAAAGCGGGUGAAAAGCCCGCUCGCCGGAAGACCAAGGGUUCCUGUCCAACGUUAAUCGGGGCAGGGUGAGUCGACCCCUAAGGCGAGGCCGAAAGGCGUAGUCGAUGGGAAACGGGUUAAUAUUCCCGUACUUGGUGUUACUGCGAAGGGGGGACGGAGAAGGCUAUGUUGGCCGGGCGACGGUUGUCCCGGUUUAAGCGUGUAGGUGUGUGUUCCAGGUAAAUCCGGUU